UACGUAGGGGGGCAAGCGUUGUCCGGAAUCAUUGGGCGUAAAGAGCGUGUAGGCGGCUCGGUAAGUCCGCUGUGAAAGUCCAGGGCUCAACCCUGGAAUGCCGGUGGAAACUGUCGAGCUAGAGUCCGGAAGAGGCGAGUGGAAUUCCUGGUGUAGCGGUGAAAUGCGCAGAUAUCAGGAGGAACACCGGUGGCGAAGGCGGGUCUCUGGGCCGAUGACUGACGCUGAGGAGCGAAAGCGUGGGGAGCGAACAGG
rnacentral:rRNA from 1 species